CCUCAGACAACAGAUGGGUGAUCCAAAUUGGGUCUAAUAAAGCAAGGAUAAGUAUUUUUUCUGAGGCUAGAAGUUUGGUCAGACUUAACAGAAUGUUUAUUGUGCUCUUGCAAUUUUUGCUUUUAGGCUGAAAGCAGAGAAAUCUGCUGAAAUAUGGCGUAGUUUCCAGCUGAAACCAGAACAGUAUUGUGAUUCACAUGAGAGAAGCAAAUCCUUUGUGAUUUCUAGGCAGAGCAGGUUCAGAAAAGCAUCUGAACUCCUUCAGGAUUUUCUGAUCAUCCAAGCCUGAGGCUUUGCUUUUCUAAUUCCUCCAUCCUCUGUGUGAGUUUUAUUGUGAGAGUCGCCGAGCGCUCCCUUUGUCCAGCUCUGCUCUCAGGUGACAGAAAGGAGUGAGUGUCAACCAUCACCAGAGCUGGACCAGCACAGAAACGUGGAUCUGCUGUGGUGGCUAGGAUCUCUUGAGAGAAAGCAAACUGAAAACGUCUUUGAGCAGCCUCUUCUGUUCUGCCCUCCUGGUGCCAGUUGAAAAUGAGAAGAAAAAGCUUUCAGCAUCCUCAAAGGCAUCUAAUUGUUCAGGACACAGUGAGUAUCUGCACUUACAGAAAUCAAGGCUGGAGUGGAGCUCCCCUGAAAGCCAGGCUCUGAGAAGCCAAGAUUCAUUUUCAGAAAAUGUCACCUGGAGCAAGCUGAAUGUCUCCUGAGCGACUUAAAUCCAUCACCAGCUCUGGAAACAGACUCUGAGCAAGUACCAGUCAACACUUUAAUUGAAAAUAAACGCUGUAAAUCCAGGGAAACCUCUCUGUUC
rnacentral:lncRNA from 1 species